UGUCUGGUUAAAACAAUAGUUUUUUCUACAAAAUUCUCUACACUUUUGGCAAGUCUUUUUCAAAAUUAGCUGUUAAAUUUUAAAGUCCAAAUGUUAUUCAACUCAGUAAAUAGACUUUUCUUGAUUUCCGCUCGGACUGUCUCCUUUAAAAGUUUUGGUCAAAGAGUAGCAAACUAUGGCCAACAGAUGAGUAGUUAUACAUUAAGUUUUGUUCGGAAUGUAAAUAUACCAAAAAAACAGAAUAGAACGUCAAGUGAAUAUGCAGAAGAUUGGAGACGAACCAUAUCACGAGAAUAUGCUUUGAUAGUUCAGAAGAGGGCAAUAAAAAAAUUACUUUAUCCAACGGAAGCAAUGAAAAAAGAAUUGCAGGAAAAAUACCACAGAAAAACAUACAAAUGUUUUGAUUUGUCCAUUCGGUCUUUUAGGUGGAAGUAAAGUAUGUUAUUAUAAAUUGAAAAAAAUUUGUUACUAAUGGCUUAUGUAUGGAUGAGUGUAAUCUAUACAACUGAUAUUUUUUCAUUUAUUGCAUGCUCGUGUGCUACCGUAGUUUAACUCUUCAAAGUCAGUUUCCGUUGUCAACUAAGGCAUUAAUAAAGUUAUUAUAACAAAAAAGUGAAGACUACGACAGCGACGACAGCAACAACCACAACACAACAACAUCAAUAACAACGACUAGUAGAAAGUAACAUAAAAAAGUUAUUAAUAAAAAAGACUGAGAAACUAACUCAGUUGAAUUGCCCUUGGUUAUUUUCUCAAGCACUCUACCAGAAAUUUACUCAAUGACCACACACUUACGAAUAUGAAACAAGUAAAUUUGUUAUUGUAACUUUGUUAUACGACGUCGUACGAGGAUAUAACACAAAUUUUGUUCCACUACACAGAAGAACUAGCAGAAGAAUAACAGCACAGAGAAACCGAAAUAAAAACAAAAACAAAAACAAAGAUAAUAACUACAGUAAUAACAAGAGCAACAACAAUGGAUCAUAUGCACGCCAUAUACAAGCCAUUAGCAGUAAUAGCAGAAGAAGAAAAAGUUUGUUUUGGCAAUGUAGAAUUAAAAUCUACAUUGCAGAUGAGAGUGUGGUAGGUAGGAUAGCAUGCGGUAGGGGGCUUGGCUGGUAAUGGAAAACAAAAGCAAGCAAUUUACAAAGUGAAUGAAUGAUGGAUGAAUAGAUGGAUGGAUAGAUGGUGGAAUUGUUCCUUUCCAAAGCUGUGAGCACAGUGUACAUUUCGAGAUUCUAAUAGAAAGACUGUUAAAAUUUUUUGUAUGCAAAGUAACCCGCUAAUGCCUAAUGGAAGAAAAUUAAUUUACCGCAAUGCAGUGACUCCAAAAUAGAAAUUGUAUGUCAUAUAAAGCAGCAAGUUCCAAAAAAUCAAAUUAUAUCGGAAGGACUGAUCGAAAAUAAUUAUAAAAAAUAAAAAUCGUGGGUCAAAUUAUCAUACAUAUAAAGAUCAGAACCGUAAUAUUAGAAGUAGAAUCUGAAUCUGAAGUAUGCGAUAAGUUGAAAAUUCGAAGUCAAUUUGCCAAGAAAACAUCAUGAGCGAACUAUUCGAACUAAUAACAGAAAAUGAUUUUCGAAGACACAUACAAAAAUUUCAUGAUUUGCUAAAAAAUCGCGAACCUGAAAUAAACGGAUAAACGGAGUAAAACUAAAAUGAUGAUAAUAGAAACGGAAUAUUAAAUUCGAAAUCAGUUUUGAAUUAUUUGAACAAAUAAAAAAUACUAAUAUAGAAAAUAGAAACAAAUAUUUUAAAAUUUGUUAUAAAAUUGCGAAUCAAAUUAAAAUUAGGUUUUAAUUCAGAAGUAAAUAAUUAUAUCAUCAAAAAAUUAGUGUAGCUAAGAAUAUGUAAUUUCGAAUUUCGAACAAUCCCAUAUGGAUAUAUGGGAUACACCAGUAAACUGAUAAGGCCUUUUCUCGAAUGUUUAAUAAUAAACUCUAAAAAUUUUUUAAAUAUUCGAAAGACGGGAUAUGAAUGUUUAAAAAAGGAUUAAGCACUGCAACUUAAAAAUACCCUAGGUAAUGCGGAACCAUAGUUGAAUGUAUGAUUUGUACUGAAAAUAUUAUAAAAAUAUUUUUUUCAGUGUGAUUAUAAUAUUUUCUUUGCAUUUCUUGUAUUUCGAAAAGUUAUUUACUGAUUUGUAACGAAAAGCAA